rnacentral:rRNA from 1 species
UACGUAGGGCGCGAGCGUUGUCCGGAUUUAUUGGGCGUAAAGAGCUCGUAGGCGGCUUGUUGCGUCGACUGUGAAAACCCGCGGCUUAACCGCGGGCUUGCAGUUGAUACGGGCAGGCUAGAGUACUGCAGGGGAGACUGGAAUUCCUGGUGUAGCGGUGGAAUGCGCAGAUAUCAGGAGGAACACCGGUGGCGAAGGCGGGUCUCUGGGCAGUAACUGACGCUGAGGAGCGAAAGCGUGGGGAGCGAACAGG